GGGAAAAUUUGGGCGUUCGUUUACAAUGUACUUGGAAUAACACCAAAGUACUAAAAUAAUAAAACACCACAAUUUAAUCAAUGUACUAAAAUUAUAUAUAUUUGAGCCUAUCACUUUUGUCUAUUUAUUUUCUUUUAGCCCAUUUAUCCUUAUUCAAUUGGGCCACUUUUAAUAUAACCAUUUAUUAUAAUCCCUAUUGAGUUCCUGCAGCCAACAUAAAUCCCUUCUUCUAAACCCACGUUUUUUUUCCAUCAAUAUCUCCACCCACAAAUUUCUCUCCAACAAACAAAUCUAAUCUCUGCAUUAUAUUUAUCUCCCCACAACUGCAUCUUUUAUCAGCCGUUUCAUAAUUUCCAAUGCAGUUUUCUCCCUUCCAACAAAGGUAUAAUCUUCCACUUCAAUUCAGUGUAUACAACUCUCUGGAUAUUAAACCCAUAGCACCAUAUAUUUUUCUUGUCACAGUUGAGAGGAAAAAAUCGAGCAGCCUGUGAAUCCAAAUCCCCCCCUGCAAAUCUCAAUUUGUUUUCCUCUUUCCAAAGGGUGAACUUAUGCACGUUGUUGCGGUUUGGAACAGAAAGUGUUGAGGAGUUAAGCAUUUGAGAUUGAGCGGCGAUGGGCGUGGAGGAUGUUGAGCAGAGUUCAUGGAUUGUUCUGUCAUGAUUAAUAAUGUUGGAUUUGUCGUGUCUUCAUACUCGGCAUUUUCCGUGUCUUGAACGCUUCCGCUAAGAGUACUUUUCUUUAGAAUUGU